UCGAUAAGGCAGCCGAUAUUCUACCAGCGGUUUGGUAUCUAGGCAACCAGUGUUGUUUACACUGUACAGCCACGCUUCACCGAUCUUGUUUCACAAUACUGGCACACUAACACAUUAGAGGCGCGGGCUUGAAGGGAAUACACAAAAUCAAGACAAGAUGUCUAGCGAACCACCCCCUCCACCCACCUACGAGCAGGUCUUGUUAGAGACCCAGGAUGAUGCCAAUAUGGAAAUAUUCACAGUACAAAACUCCGGUGUGGGGAAUCUAGAUUAUAGCGCCUACGAAGCCGACGGUCAAAGGCCGCCUCCACCAAGACAAGCUUUUGCAACAUCAUCUACUGAACAAGCUGCACCCUUACCCCGAGCAGGAACAUCG